rnacentral:rRNA from 1 species
UAAGCGGAGGAAAAGAAACUAACAAGGAUUCCCCUAGUAACGGCGAGUGAAGCGGGAAGAGCUCAAAUUUGAAAUCUAGUAGCCUUCGGCUGCUCGAGUUGUAAUCUAGAGAAGUGUUUUCCGUGCCGGCCCAUGUACAAGUCCCUUGGAACAGGGCGUCAUAGAGGGUGAGAAUCCCGUCCUUGACAUGGACCCCCGGUGCUCUGUGAUACACUUUCAACGAGUCGAGUUGUUUGGGAAUGCAGCUCAAAAUGGGUGGUGAAUUCCAUCUAAAGCUAAAUAUUGGCGAGAGACCGAUAGCGAACAAGUACCGUGAGGGAAAGAUGAAAAGCACUUUGGAAAGAGAGUUAAACAGUACGUGAAAUUGUUGAAAGGGAAACGAUUGAAGUCAGUCAUGCUCUUUGGUAUUUAUAUCAUUGAGUGGGGUCAACAUCAGUUUUGAUCGAUGGAUAAAGGCACUAGGAAGGUAGCACUCUCGGGUGAACUUAUAGCCUGGCGUCAUAUACAUUGAUUGGGACUGAGGAACGCAGCAUGCCUUUAUGGCCGGGAUUCGUCCACGUACAUGCUUAGGAUGUUGACAUAAUGGCUUUAAACGACCCGUCUUGAAACACG